GAUGAACGCUGGCGGCGUGCCUAAUACAUGCAAGUCGAGCGAACGGACGAGAAGCUUGCUUCUCUGAUGUUAGCGGCGGAUGGGUGAGUAACACGUGGAUAACCUACCUAUAAGACUGGGAUAACUUCGGGAAACCGGAGCUAAUACCGGAUGAUAUUUUGAACCGCAUGGUUCAAAAGUGAAAGACGGUCUUGCUGUCACUUAUAGAUGGAUCCGCGCUGCAUUAGCUAGUUGGUAAGGUAACGGCUUACCAAGGCAACGAUGCAUAGCCGACCCGAGAGGGUGAUCGGCCACACUGGAACUGAGACACGGUCCAGACUCCUACGGGAGGCAGCAGUAGGGAAUCUUCCGCAAUGGGCGAAAGCCUGACGGAGCAACGCCGCGUGAGUGAUGAAGGUCUUCGGAUCGUAAAACUCUGUUAUUAGGGAAGAACAUAUGUGUAAGUAACUGUGCACAUCUUGACGGUACCUAAUCAGAAAGCCACGGCUAACUACGUG
rnacentral:rRNA from 1 species